UACGAAGGGGGCUAGCGUUGUUCGGAAUUACUGGGCGUAAAGGGCGCGUAGGCGGUGCCUCAAGUCAGGCGUGAAAGCCCCGGGCUCAACCUGGGAACCGCGCUUGAGACUGGAGUACUAGAGUUCGGGAGAGGAUGGUGGAAUUCCCAGUGUAGAGGUGAAAUUCGUAGAUAUUCGCAAGAACACCAGUGGCGAAGGCGGCUCACUGGCCCGGUACUGACGCUGAGGUGCGAAAGCGUGGGGAGCAAACAGG
rnacentral:rRNA from 1 species